rnacentral:rRNA from 1 species
CACGACGCAUGUUGUCACGCAAUUGAGAUCUGGUUGAUUCUGCCACCGGAUCCC